UCCAUACUUCACAUCCUCCCUUGUGUGUUACACCUUGGCUGUGUAUCCUACUAUACGUCUUCCUCCCAAAAUGCAUAAAUAGAUACAAUAUUUACCAAUAAAACCCAUACAGUUAUUUAAAUAUUUGUUUAGCCCAUAUAAAUUUAUAGCACUUAGAUAAAUUUAUAUAAUAUAUAAGCUUGCCCACUUCUUAAAUAUCUUUAACAAAAGUGGGAUUUCAGACUUCCUGAUGGGGUCUCUGUAGAUAAGGGUCAGUGGUUUGCCAUUAGAAGGGUCCGUGAACUUCCAUCUGUUCUCCCACCCACCCACCUUCUAGCCCCAGUCAAGUUACAGGGAGUUUAUACUUGGGGGAAGUUCAGGGGCCACAUCCCCCCUGUUCCAAGGUAGCGAGACCAUCCUGAAGGCUGAAGUCAGUGUGAGGGGGCUGAGCUGACCCCUGACCUGGGCCUACUGCCUGCAAGUCUAAUUCAGACCACUCAUUGGUCCCGCCAGAGUCCCUGUGAAGUGGGGCUGACAGAGCCUCCUGCUGGGGUGGUUGUGAAGGUCAGUGUGGGAGCAAUGUGAGCAGAGUCCCUGUCUAUUGCUUUCUUCUCCUUGGGCUCCCCACAGGUAUGGCUCCUGCACAAAUGUCCAGAGGUGCAGAAUGGGGUAGUCCAGAGGUUGCUAGAGAGGAACCCCGGCAAUGAGGCUGUUGCACUUCCCUUACCACUUCCCUUGGCUAACUGGAAGUCUGGCUCUUCAUACUCAAUCUGAAAGACAGUGCACCAGAGUUAGGUUCGGCUGCAGGUAGCAGAAGCCUGGAUCCUGGUGCCUGAUGGGAAUGAGAGUAGGUGGUGUAGGGCUGGUCUGGCGGUUCCCAACACCUUAGGCCCCUGACACCUUCUUGUCUCAGUCUCACUCUCUUCGCUUGCGGGAGCUCUAGUUAUCACACUUUAGGUAGGAAGAAGUGGAAAAGGUAGAUGCCAGCUGGUUCCUUUCCUUGAAGUCCAUGGGGCUCCUGAUCACAGCCUGACCAGGGCUGAUCACAGGCCCAACUGUCCUCAAAAGAAGCUGGAGAAAGUGAUUUUUCAUCUGAAUCAAGAUUUCUGUUGCUACUGAAGGAGGAAGUGAUUGUUUGGGCAACUGUAGGGAGCUGUACCCCACACUGGGCCUGGAGGACCAAGUGUAAGAUGAUGGUAGGGAGGAUGUGGAGAGGGCAGGAUGGGGGGAGAUUCCAGGGAGUGCAAUGGGAGCCCUGACCUGGAGAGGCACAGAUCAGACUUUCUAAGGACCCCUAACUCUAGCAGGUUGUGUGAGAAACCUGUCCUACUAUGCUCCAGGGGGUUGGGCUUUCCCAAGUUCACACAUGAUAACUGUAAUUCUAAAAGGCCACACAGCCCCAGCAAUGCUGACUGACAAAAGACAGGUGAACCAGGGAAUUGUUCUUUUCAUCGUCUUCUGCCAUCUUCAACAUGUGCUUUCCAGAUCAUAGCCAAAACGGGGCCCUGGUUCUAGCCUCCAGGAAGGUGUAAAGGGAAGGAAGGGCAAGCCUUGUUCUCUGUAGGACACAACACUGUAGGUCCCCUUCCUGCACACUGCAUUCACUUUCAGGGGAAGUGUGAAGUGGAGCCUCAGCUCAGCAGCUGUGUGUUCAAUUAAAACUUCUCUCAGCACAUUGGUAAGAAGAGGAAGAUGGUUGGUGAGACGUAGCCAUCUCAGGCAUGGUAAUGUGGCAAAAUCUUUCCAAAGCCUCUCUUGGAAAUAAUGUUUGCUUACUUUUCAAAGUUUCUAUUAAGAAAAAGGGAGAAACCCCUCAAGACCAGGGUAGGUGAGAGGUGAUUAGGCCUUACCAAGAGCCCUCCAUGUCUUCCCUGAGGAAGGCAACCAGAGCAGCCACUGUGGGAACAGCUGCCUCGGCCCUGAGUGAAGUCGAGCAGCAGAGGGGAGGCUGCAUGAAUUCCAGGGGCAAUGUUGAAGACUCCACGUGUAUCUCUUGAAGGCCAAAGUUCAGGAGGACUCAGAUAGCUCCUUCUCGAAGAGCUCUAGAAACUCUUGCUGUGGAACUCGAAACAGCCUCAAAUCCUCUUCACGUUCACUGCAGUCAGAGAACCAUGAUGUGACAUCCCACUGACAUUACUAACAGGACCAGUUCGUGCUAUAAUGGAAGUGUGACACAGCUGGACUUCAUUAGGGCAAUGGUGGGAUAGCAUUGAGUUGAAUUAGAGACUAUCAUGUCAAGCUGAUAAGAAGUUUGAUGGAGGUAUGUUGGGAAUUUUAUCAGUGAGAUGGUGCUGGAUUUCUAUCUGCCAUAUUUAUUUGUAAUAUGCUCAUUUCUAGAUCAAAUUGACAAAUGGAAUAAUGCUUUGAAAAACUUUUCUGCUCCAAACACAUGACAACAACAU